rnacentral:rRNA from 1 species
CAGGCUUAACACAUGCAAGUCGAGGGGCAGCAUUUUAGUUUGCUUGCAAACUGAAGAUGGCGACCGGCGCACGGGUGAGUAACACGUAUCCAACCUGCCGAUAACUCCGGGAUAGCCUUUCGAAAGAAAGAUUAAUACCGGAUAGCAUACGAAUAUCGCAUGAUAUUUUUAUUAAAGAAUUUCGGUUAUCGAUGGGGAUGCGUUCCAUUAGUUUGUUGGCGGGGUAACGGCCCACCAAGACUACGAUGGAUAGGGGUUCUGAGAGGAAGGUCCCCCACAUUGGAACUGAGACACGGUCCAAACUCCUACGGGAGGCAGCAGUGAGGAAUAUUGGUCAAUGGGCGCGAGCCUGAACCAGCCAAGUAGCGUGAAGGAUGAAGGCUCUAUGGGUCGUAAACUUCUUUUAUAUGGGAAUAAAGUUUUCCACGUGUGGAAUUUUGUAUGUACCAUAUGAAUAAGGAUCGGCUAACUCCGUGCCAGCAGCCGCGGUAAUACGGAGGAUCCGAGCGUUAUCCGGAUUUAUUGGGUUUAAAGGGAGCGUAGGUGGAUUGUUAAGUCAGUUGUGAAAGUUUGCGGCUCAACCGUAAAAUUGCAGUUGAAACUGGCAGUCUUGAGUACAGUAGAGGUGGGCGGAAUUCGUGGUGUAGCGGUGAAAUGCUUAGAUAUCACGAAGAACUCCGAUUGCGAAGGCAGCUCACUAGACUGUCACUGACACUGAUGCUCGAAAGUGUGGGUAUCAAACAGGAUUAGAUACCCUGGUAGUCCACACAGUAAACGAUGAAUACUCGCUGUUUGCGAUAUACAGUAAGCGGCCAAGCGAAAGCAUUAAGUAUUCCACCUGGGGAGUACGCCGGCAACGGUGAAACUCAAAGGAAUUGACGGGGGCCCGCACAAGCGGAGGAACAUGUGGUUUAAUUCGAUGAUACGCGAGGAACCUUACCCGGGCUUAAAUUGCAACAGAAUAUAUUGGAAACAGUAUAGCCGUAAGGCUGUUGUGAAGGUGCUGCAUGGUUGUCGUCAGCUCGUGCCGUGAGGUGUCGGCUUAAGUGCCAUAACGAGCGCAACCCUUAUCUUUAGUUACUAACAGGUUAUGCUGAGGACUCUAGAGAGACUGCCGUCGUAAGAUGUGAGGAAGGUGGGGAUGACGUCAAAUCAGCACGGCCCUUACGUCCGGGGCUACACACGUGUUACAAUGGGGGGUACAGAAGGCGGCUACCUGGUGACAGGAUGCUAAUCCCAAAAACCUCUCUCAGUUCGGAUCGAAGUCUGCAACCCGACUUCGUGAAGCUGGAUUCGCUAGUAAUCGCGCAUCAGCCAUGGCGCGGUGAAUACGUUCCCGGGCCUUGUACACACCGCCCGUCAAGCCAUGAAAGCCGGGGGUACCUGAAGUACGUAACCGCAAGGAGCGUCCUAGGGUAAAACUGGUAAUUGGGGCUA